GAUGAACGCUAGCGGCAGGCUUAAUACAUGCAAGUCGAACGGUAAGUUUGGUAGCAAUAUCAAACCAAGAGUGACGUACGGGUGCGUAACACGUAUGCAACCUACCUUGUACAGGAGUAUAGCUCGGGGAAACUCGAAUUAACCCUCCAUGAGAUCAUAGAAUGGCAUCAUUUAGUGAUUAAACUCAGGUGGUACAAGAUGGGCAUGCGUCUG
rnacentral:rRNA from 1 species